rfam:Hordeum vulgare subsp. vulgare, WGS project CAJW01000000 data, contig: morex_contig_150322
GGAUGCCAUGAGGUAUCUGAUGCUUGGUCUGCUUUCAUGGCCUUGUUUCUCGUUAGAUUGGCAGACAUCGAGAAGGAAACGUGUUCUUGCGACACUUGGCUGCUCUCAUACAAGGAGCUUCCUGUUACUAUACCCCCGUUUACACCU